UGUCAUUUAAAACUGUGGAUUAAACUUGUUACGCUUUUUAUUCCUCAUUCUGUCCUUUCUUCUAAUCCUCUGAAGACGUGUUAAAGAGAGAGACAAGGACAAAAUGUUCCGGGUCUCACCGUCGAAGCUGCCCUUCUCCCCACAGAACGCCAGCAGCUUCUCGUGCGUCUCAUUGGACGGUCUGAAGACAAAAACCCCCGAGUUGAAGCAGUCCGGCCAACCGGGAUCAGGUGUGUGUCUCACCAGUGUGUCUGCGUCCAUGAACACACACUUGCUGUAGUGUGUGAGAGUCCAGCAGUGCAGUUUGGUGAAUGUCACUCCCAGGUCCGGACGCUUCAUCAGGGCCAGAACCCACUGCACCAGACCCAGUUCAUCUGCGAGGCCUUUUGUGUGGACUUCAGUGUCUGACGGGUCCUCAUGCAUACAUUAACAUUAACAGCAGGGGACUCACACUGUGAAAACCAGGCCCGGAGCCAGCAGAUAGCAUUCACCAGGCUGAAUGCGUGUGUUGUCAAGGGGGCUUCUGGGAAACCUACCCCGGAGUGGGAGUGUCCUACGUUUGCUGGGGUUCUAUUGAAGGAAACUGGUUUAUCAAAAGCUAUAGGUCUGCGUCGUGGGACAGGAAGCAUGUGAUGUGU